GCCGACAAGCGGACGGCGCUCGUUACUGAUUGACGGCGUGCCUGUUGCAUACUGCAUCUACGAGUUGCCUUUGCCGGCAAGGUUAAGUGUGACAACACACGUAUCCGAAACGAAAGCGAGUCUGAACAGGGCGUAUAGUCGGCAGUGGCAGACGCGAAACCAAGUGAUCUACCCUUGGCCAGGUUGAAGGCUGGGUAACACCAGCUGGAGGACCGCACCAAUAAGCGUUGAAAAGCUUCUGGAUGAGCCGAGUGUAGGAGUGAAAGGCCAAUCAAACUUGGAGAUAGCUCGUACUCCCCGAAAGGCAUUUAGGUGCCGCGUCGGAUGUUCACCGUGAGAGGUAGAGCGACCGAUAGGACAAGAGGGCUUCACCGCCUAUCGAGUCCUGCCGAACUCCGAAUGCUCACGGUUUGCAGUCCGGCAGUAAGGGGGCGGGUGCUAAGGUCCGUCCCCGAGAGGAGAAGAAUCCAGACCGCCGUCUAAGGUCCCGGAGUUCUGCCUGAGUUAGUCUAACGAAGUCUGGUCCCUAUGACAGCUAGGAUGUUGGCUUGGAAGCAGCCAUUCAUUUAAAGAGUGCGUAACAGCUCACUAGUCGAGGGUCCGGGCAUGGAUAAUAAUCGGGUAUAAGGCAGACACCGAAGGCGCGGGAUAGCAAUCAUAAAAGUAUCGGUAGGGGAGCAUACUCACAGCGUCGAAUGGUGUACGUAAGUUAUCCUGGAGCGGUGAG
rnacentral:rRNA from 1 species